AGUCAAGACUGCCACUAGCACUGCUCAAGCGGUGUUUAUCUCUUUGUGAUGUUGAGGCAUCAAAUUCGAGAAAACCUGCUGAGAGGCUGUCAAUAGCUUCUCUUCUAGGUGUUGUUUCAGUUGGAAAUGACAGAGGAUGUAUGGGUUUUGACAUAAAGAAACGGCGACUUGGGAAGCUACGAUAAGAUGAAUGGGACUUGGUGAUUGAAUCACAGUCACUACUGUCAGAUCGGGAUGAAGUUGAGCCUCUGCCAUCCCUAGCAAUUGAUGCUCCCUCCAUUGUGGGUGAAAAUGAAAAUGGCCUCGUAAUUGCAUCCCUUCUUGAAGUACCAAAAUCAUCAAUGUUGAUUUCUUGGAUAGCUGGUGGAGUCCACUGUUGUGCCGGAGAGAUGUCCGAUGGGCUACUACAGUAUGCACCAACACCAUCUGAUAUGACAUAUUGGUGAUUGGCCAAUUGGUUCCCCCUCACCCAACUUCUACUAUCUCUACUGUUUGAUGAAGCAGAAGAUCCAUACAAUUGAACUCCAUCAUUAGAGCCAAAGGAUAAUGUUUCAGGUUGGAAGCGGAAAUCCCAUCUGGAUGGUGCUGGGGAGAAGCUUGAAUUAGUCCGCCAGUAAGGCUCAUGUGGCCCCAUGGACCAUUCUCCACUAGCUGCAUUGGACCCAUGUGGCCUUGCAGCCACA
rnacentral:misc_RNA from 1 species